rnacentral:RNase_P_RNA from 2 species
UCAGAAGGAAGCUCACCACUGAGAUCACUUACUGAGUGCUAAUCAUUCAUUUCUCUCUGCCUCUGGGAAGGUCUGAGAUCAAGAGCCAACAGGUGCCCUUUUAGGCACCCCCUGAAACAGGAGGGUGAGGUACCAGGGAGGCUGGACCCUGCCUUGGGAGAGGCACAAGAAGCCAAGGAGGGGGGGGGGCCUCCUUUCCUCCCCCGGCUAAUGCCCAUCCCCUGUGCAGGGUCUUGAGACAGGCUCAUGCCUGGCACCACUGAGUCCAAUGAGAUGAGGUGAGGCUUGCUCCCCACAUGCAGGACUCAGAACCCAAAUCAGACUAUUCCACUCUGA